rnacentral:rRNA from 1 species
UUAAGAGCUUGCUCUUAUGAAGUUAGCGGCGGACGGGUGAGUAACACGUGGGUAACCUGCCCAUAAGACUGGGAUAACUCCGGGAAACCGGGGCUAAUACCGGAUAACAUUUUGAACCGCAUGGUUCGAAAUUGAAAGGCGGCUUCGGCUGUCACUUAUGGAUGGACCCGCGUCGCAUUAGCUAGUUGGUGAGGUAACGGCUCACCAAGGCAACGAUGCGUAGCCGACCUGAGAGGGUGAUCGGCCACACUGGGACUGAGACACGGCCCAGACUCCUACGGGAGGCAGCAGUAGGGAAUCUUCCGCAAUGGACGAAAGUCUGACGGAGCAACGCCGCGUGAGUGAUGAAGGCUUUCGGGUCGUAAAACUCUGUUGUUAGGGAAGAACAAGUGCUAGUUGAAUAAGCUGGCACCUUGACGGUACCUAACCAGAAAGCCACGGCUAACUACGUGCCAGCAGCCGCGGUAAUACGUAGGUGGCAAGCGUUAUCCGGAAUUAUUGGGCGUAAAGCGCGCGCAGGUGGUUUCUUAAGUCUGAUGUGAAAGCCCACGGCUCAACCGUGGAGGGUCAUUGGAAACUGGGAGACUUGAGUGCAGAAGAGGAAAGUGGAAUUCCAUGUGUAGCGGUGAAAUGCGUAGAGAUAUGGAGGAACACCAGUGGC